CUAUGUUUGGAUAUCAUAAAAUCAACGGAGCGGAAUGGAGCGGAGCGGAGUGGGAUGGAGCGGAGUGGAACGGAGCGGAACGAAGAUACCAUUCCAUUGUUUGGAAAUUUUAGGACGGAACAAGAUAAGUUGUUCAUUCCGCCCAAAUCGGAGGGUAAGAAAAAUGGUGGUAAGUGAUGGAAUGGAAUGGAAUCCAUACCACUCUAUUCCGCUCCGUUCCAUCCGUUUUUAAAUUAUCCAAACAAUGGAAUAUCAUUUUAUUCCAUCCCAUUCCGCUCCGCUCCAUCCGGUUCCAUCAAUCCAAACAAAACCUAAAUAAAAAAGCCAGCAAAUGAAAUGAUGGCUAUGCGUUCUCUCAAACCGUCGUCGAUGACGAAAGUCGUAAUUCCGGGAAGUUACGGCAGUGAUGAUGAGAGUGAAAGCAAAAGAUGAAUAUGAUUCACCCGAACAGUGUUACGUGUACACCAGAAUAUGCUUCAACAGAACAGAUGAAAACCACUUUCGACUGAUUUACAUCUAUUAUAGAUGAAUACCACUUUACUACAAUUUACUUUGGUUGUGAUUAUUAUAGAUGGAAAACCCUUUUAGUGUAAUUGUUGCAGAAAAUAGUUACAGAGAAACAGAAGAAAUUAAAGGAAAGAUGGAAGUGUUGAGGGGUGAUUGCAUAUUUUGUUUCCAAUUAUUGAUGAAUCAUUUGGAUCUGUAACCCUUUUCUUCUAUUGAAUCAUGUGUGUUUUUGUUGUUAUGCAAUGUUAGGCUUAUUGUUGUUGUUACUGGAAUUGUAAUCUAACUGUUUGUUUUUAUGUUGCAGUGAGUGAUGGGUGAUAAGGAAAUUUAUGUUUUGGAUAGAAUUGGGUAUGGAAAGAUUGAUAAUACUGAUGGUGAUGGUAUGUAUCCAAUGUAUUUUGGUGUUUCUUCUGCAUUUUUUGCACUUCAAGUCCUUAGAAAACCAAGUUUUGAAGUUGAAAAGAAUUUGUCUGAAACUGUUGAAACUAUGCUUCAAGGAAGUGCACAGCUUUUGGGGUUGAUUGUGUGGAAAGUUAAGAAGGAAGUGUCGAAUGAGGUCAACCAAAAGCUGAAAAGUGCUGAAUUGGAUCAGGAGUUGAAGGAAUAAUAUUUUAGAGAAAUAGCUUUGUAUGUAUUUUUUUUAGUGGCAAUAUUGCUUGUAAAAGUUAGGCCAAUGGUUGUAAAAGGAAUCUUGAGUUUCCUGAUGCAUUGUAUAAGUUUCAAUUUCAAGAAAUAAAACUGUUUUGAUCUCAAACUA